GAAGCCAGAUUGGAACGGUUCGUGGAGAUUGUUAGUGUCGAGGUGGGACUGUAGUUGUGCGGCAACCACCCUUUCAAGUGUUUUGGAGAUGAAAGGGAGAUUGGAGAUGGGCCGGUAAUGGUUAAGGUCAGUUGGGUCAGCACCAGGUUUUUUCAGGAUGGGAGUGAUGGCAGCCAGCUUGAGAGUGGGGGGUACAGUACCAGUAGUGAGGGAGGAGUUAAUUAUGUUGGUGAUCAUGGGGGCGAUGGACGGAAGACAUGCUUUGACAAGGGAGGUGGGAAGAGGAUCGAGCUGACAGGUGGUGGUUUUGGCUUUGCGGAUGAGUUCUGAAACGGUCUGUUCUGUUACUAGGGUGAAGUCAGAGAGGGAGCUGAUGAGAGGUUGGCCAGAGGUGAUCAUCCAGGGUGGGUCAUCAGAGGGGGUGCGAGAUGAGGCCAGUUGUUGGUGAAUGGUGUUGAUUUUAGAGCUGAAGAAGUCAAGGAACGCAGUGCAUUGGGUGGUGGAAAAGUCUGGAGGGAGAGAUUUAGGAGGCUGAAGUAAGUGGCUGACUGUUGAGAAGAGGACUCUGCUGUUGCCUGUACCAGUGUUGAUGAGGUUGGAGUAGUAUGAGGUUUUGGCAGUAGUGAGGGCAUUCUUGUAGUGAUGGAGGUGGUCCGAAUACAUUUGGCGGUGUACAGUGAGUUGAGUCUUUUUGUAGAGUCGCUCCAGUCGACGACCAGUGGCUUUGAGCUGGCGCAGAUGAGGAGUGAACCAGGGAGCAGUGUGGGUGAAUGAGACUGAACGGGUUUUCAGGGGGGCCAGGGUGGUGAGGGAGGAGGAGAGGCAGUUAUUGUAGUGAGACACCAGGUCAGUCAGGGAGGAAGCUGGGGGAGGGUUGGGGUAGGAGCUGAUCAUGGUGGAGAGGUCUGUGGUGUUGAUAAGUUUGAUGUUUCUGAAGGAGAUGGUCCGUUGUUCCUUGGUUUUGUGUAGUUGGGUAUGAAUGUCAAAAAGUACAGCUUUGUGGUCGGAGAUGGGGAAAUCAAUGACAUCAAGGUUAGUGGGAGUGAUGUCAGUGCAGCAGAUUAAAUCCAGAAUGUGACCUUUGUUAUGGGUUGGGAGGUUGACAUGUUGUGUGAUGCCAAGACAGUCCAGAAGUGAUGUGAAGUCAUUAACAAAAGUACAGGAUGGGUUGUCAAUGUGGAUGUUGAAAUCACCAAGGAGGAUAACAGUGGGGGACAUUGCACAUACAGAUGUAAGUAGAGAUGAGAAUUCAUUGAGGAAAACGGCGGAGGGUUUUGGCGGUCUGUAAAUGGUGACAAUGAUAGUGGGUUUGGGGCCUGAGAGUUUUACAGCUAGACAUUCAAAGGAGGAAUGAAGGGGGACUGUGACAGUGGUGACUUUGAUGUUAUCACGAUGGAGGAGAGCGAGGCCACCCCCCCUCCCAUUAACCCGGGGUUUACUAAUGAAAGAAAAACCUGGUGGGACAGCUUCAUUUAGAUGGGAGAAGUCAUUUGGUUGUUGCCAGGUCUCAGUGAGGCAGAGAAUGUCUAGGCUCUGGUCAACAAUAAAGUCAUUUAUCAAAAGGGCCUUAUUACUGAGGGAUCUGGUGUUCAGCAGACAGAGUUUCAGACAGGUGAGUGGAGUGUAGCAGGUUGCUUUGAGCAGAGGGAACAGUACACUGUGAUUGACGGGACUGACCGUACGGGCUGUGCGAGGAGGGGGGCGGGGCCCAGUGGACCAGAAGGAGCGGAUGUUUUUGUUGCUGGUGUGAGUGUACUGAAAAUUCCGUCCAGAGCCUCGGUGGAUGUAUUUUGGUCGUUUGAGAAUGUCCUUGUGGGAUGCAAGCUGAGGUGGUUGGGUCCUUGAGAAGAUCCGUAGACGUAACAUCUCCGUUACCGAGUAACGGAGCGGCAGAGAUGCGCUCGUUACGUGAGAGUCAAACAUAGCGCAAUCCAGAGGAACAGGUUAAAAUCCACAGGUUGUGAAGUCGGAAGAAGCCAGCGGUAGAUCCAGGCGAUUAUGGUGAAGCCACAGAGCCAGCACGGCGGAGGCAGAGGAGUGGAGCAAGCCGGUUGUAGCUACGCUGGAGACGGGGAAGCCAGUUGGACGGCGCCGGGGGUUAACAGCAGUCUAGCCGGCCAGCAGGUGUCAUCCACCAACAGCUGCACGACUCCACGCACAAAACACAAAACAAAACACGCAGACGUUUAACGUUCAGAAAUAAAUAAAUAAAUCAAGAAAACUGACGCAGUUACUUAACUUAACUUUGUAGUCCGAUCCGAGGUCCAGAAGGGUUUCAGACAGAAGGUGUUGAAAGUAAGCAAAAGAAAACUGAUUAAAAAGCAACAGCGUCCACCAACUGUACGACCUCACGUAUAAAACACGUAAAAAUAAAGAAAACGGGCGCACUGACAAUAGCGAAAAGUGACUAUAUAUAACAAGUAAACUUAGCUAAACUACUAAAGACCAAAAAAAACGACAAAAUGUUCAAUGCAAUCGUGAGAAAUAUUGGAAAUACUGAAUAAAAACAAGCCAUACAGAGCGGCGUUAGACUCGCCAGCGUCCCCGUUACUAGGCAAC